AUGACAUAUCUUUGAUUUGAAUUUGAAAAACACGGCAGCGAACAGUGACGCUGUCCUCCACGUGGCACUCACCCACCAGUCACGACGCGCACUGCGCAUCCGCUCACCCCACCACACCACAACCCAACCCGCUCUUUUUUGUCCUCAGUGACUCUCACUCCAAAGUCCUCCUCUCUCUCUCUCUCUCUCUCUCUCUCUCUCCAGAACCUUCCUUCAAUCCACCAUGCUCUGCUCCGCUCCGACCGCGAAGUCCGGUUCAACAUGGCUCGACCGCCUCCGGUCCAGCAAAGGCAUCCCCACCGGCGAUGGCCUUGACCUCGAUUCUUUCCUCCUCACCGCAGCUCACCACUCCCCUCGUUCACUCCAGGCCCGGUCCGAUACCAUCCCGGCCCGACCCCGGCCCACCGAGGCCCAUCACGAGCCACCAAGCAUGACCGCCGUCCUCGCCGAGCUCUUCAACAUGGGCGCCACCCUCACCCGAACCCUACCCUCCAAAAAAUGCCCCAGGAAGCAAACCCACCCGAAAUUCUUCCUCGCCAAUUCUUCCCCAACAACCACCGCCGCCGCCACAACCACUACAGCCGCCGCCACCGCUGUCCGCGCCACCAAUUCCCUCAGGGCUAACGUGGCAGCGGAAGAAGUAGCAGUAAUAGAAGAAGAAGCGUUGGACCGCGGUGACGACGAAGAUAACGAGUUGAUGAAGGGUUUCACGAAGAGCGAGGUUACCAUGAUUGACACGAGCUUCCCUGGUUGGAAGGUGGACAAGUUGGUGUUCAGGAAAAACAAUAUUUGGAAAGUGAGGGAGAGAAAGCACAAGUCAAAAUUUUUUACUAAGAAGAAGAAGAAAACCUCUGAUGUUAAUGGAAUUGGGAGCUCCAAGUAAGAUAUCGUAUGGACAACGCAGUCAACAUGAAACGAGAGAAGCCUAUGAAAGACUCCCAAGGAUAUAUUGCACAUCAUCUCUAAAAGAGGUUUCUGGAAAAAUUAAGAAAGGAAAAACAAGUCUCUGAUUUUAAUAAAUGACAUUCCUUCUUAAAAUAACAAAGGAAGCCGAACAAAGGUUAACAAAUUUCAAGUUGGCUGCUGUAGGCUGCUUCUUUUUUGUGCUAUUUCAUUGAUGAAGGCGCUACCGGUCUUCUAUUAGCAAUCAUGAAUGUAUAAACAACUUUGUUUCCUCAUGAAGAGAAUUGCUUGGUGGUUUGACUGUUUGGUCCAAAUUGAGGUUCUAAUGCAACCUUGUAAUUUGUAAAUGUUUCUUAUAUUUCCCUCUAACUUGCAACAUUCUUUCUUCAAUACAUAUGCAAUCUUCUCUUCUUUUCCC